rnacentral:rRNA from 1 species
AGUGAACGCUGGCGGUAGGCCUAUCACAUGCAAGUCGAACGGCAGCACAGUAAGAGCUUGCUCUUACGGGUGGCGAGUGGCGGACGGGUGAGGAAUACAUCGGAAUCUACUUUUUCGUGGGGGAUAACGUAGGGAAACUUACGCUAAUACCGCAUACGACCUACGGGUGAAAGCAGGGGAUCUUCGGACCUUGCGCGAUUGAAUGAGCCGAUGUCGGAUUAGCUAGUUGGCGGGGUAAAGGCCCACCAAGGCGACGAUCCGUAGCUGGUCUGAGAGGGUGAUCAGCCACACUGGAACUGAGACACGGUCCAGACUCCUACGGGAGGCAGCAGUGGGGAAUAUUGGACAAUGGGCGCAAGCCUGAUCCAGCCAUACCGCGUGGGUGAAGAAGGCCUUCGGGUUGUAAAGCCCUUUUGUUGGGAAAGAAAAGCAGCAGGUUAAUACCCCGCUGUUCUGACGGUACCCAAAGAAUAAGCACCGGCUAACUUCGUG